CGUUUGUAAGAGGAAAGUUAUUAUACGCAUGCGCAGUGAAAUUACAUUUUUUGAAGGUUUUUUAAAAUGGCUACGGUAACAGGAUUUUAGAAACUAAUCAUUGACAACGAUAUUCCAACCAUAUUCGCGUUUCAACAAAGAAACUUGCCUGUUGUAAAGAAGGGAAAAGUAAACUAAAGCAGAAAGACUUUUUCUUGGAACUCGAUAUAAAUAUUUUUUUGUGUUUCGUGUUUAAAUUUUUUUUUUUAAUGUUUUCAGCUUGAGAUUGUUAAAAUCAAUAUGAGUAUAUUUAAAAUAUUUUUUACUUAAAGAUUGAAA